GAUAGUGAACCAGUACCGUGAGGGAAAGGUGAAAAGAACCCCGAACAGGGGAGUGAAAUAGAACCUGAAACCAUACGCUUACAACCUGUCGGAGCGGCUUCGUGCCGUGACGGCGUGCCUAUUGAAUAAUGAGCCUACGAGUUACUAAUCACUGGCAAGGUUAAGUGCACGGAUGCACGGAGCCGAAGCGAAAGCGAGUCUGAAUAGGGCGUUUAGUCAGUGGUUGUAGACGCGAAACCUUGCGAUCUACCCUUGAGCAGGUUGAAGGUUGGGUAAAACCAACUGGAGGACCGAACGAAUAAGCGUUGAAAAGCUUCUCGAUGACUUGAGGGUAGGGGUGAAAGGCUAAUCAAGCUGGGAAAUAGCUCGUACUCCCCGAAAUGCCUUUAGGGGCAGCGUUGUAAUUAAGAGUCUACUGGAGGUAGAGCUACUGAUUGGAUGCGGGGGCUUCACCGCCUACCAAAUCCUGACAAACUCCGAAUGCCAGUAGUAUGAUUUACAGCAGUGAGCGACCGGGUGCUAAUGUCCGGUUACGAGAGUGGAACAACACAGACCAGCAACUAAGGUCCCCAAGAGUAUACUAAGUUGAUCUAACGAUGUUUUGCUGCAGAGACAGCUAGGAUGUUAGCUUGGAAGCAGCUAUUCAUUCAAAGAGUGCGUAACAGCUCACUAGUCGAGCGGCAAAGCGUGGAUAAUAAACGGGCAUCAAGUAUACCACCGAAGUUCUGGGCACGAAAGUGCGGUAGGGGAGCAUUCCAUUCCGCGUUGAAGCCGAACCGUGAGGUUUGGUGGAGUGUAUGGAAAAGCAAAUGUAGGCAUGAGUAACGAUAAUGCGGGAGAGUAACCCGCACACCGCAAGACCAAGGUUUCCUGAUCAACGCUAAUCGGAUCAGGGUUAGUCGGGUCCUAAGGGUAAGCCGAACGGUGAUCUCGAUGGAUAAUCGGUUAAUAUUCCGAUACUGACAUAUACCUCGAUGGAGAGACGAAGGAACGUAAGUGCCGCCACCUGACGGAAUAGGUGGUUAAAGGGCUUAGGUAUAGGGGCAGAUUAAGAGUUAGUCCUUGCUGAAACCUGACAGUACAGAGAGCCUACGGGCAAUUUGAUAGUGCACCCAAGUCGACUUCCGAGAAAAUCUUCUAAGUUAUAGUAUAUGUCACCCGUACCGUAAACCGACACAGGUGGUCGAGGAGAGUAUCCUAAGGUGCUCGAGUGAAUCACGGUUAAGGAACUAGGCAAAUUAACCCCGUAACUUCGGGAAAAGGGGUCCCAUCGCGAGGUGGGCGCAGCGAAGAGGUCCAGGCGACUGUUUAUCAAAAACACAGGGCUCUGCAAAUUCGAAAGAAGACGUAUAGGGCCUGACACCUGCCCGGUGCUGGAAGGUUAAGAGGGGAUGUCAUCGCAAGAGAAGCAUUGAAUCGAAGCCCCAGUAAACGGCGGCCGUAACUAUAACGGUCCUAAGGUAGCGAAAUUCCUUGUCGGGUAAGUUCCGACCUGCACGAAUGGUGUAACGAUCUGGACACUGUCUCAACCGUGAGCUCGGUGAAAUUGUAGUCCCGGUGAUGAUGCCGGGUACCCGCAACGGGACGAAAAGACCCCGUGAACCUUUACUAUAGCUUAACGCUGAAUUUGGGUACACAAUGUGUAGGAUAGGCAGGAGACUACGAAGCGGGCACGCCAGUGUUCGUGGAGUCGACGUUGAAAUACUGCCCUUUGUGUACUUGAGUUCUAACCCUCGAGAUGGGGACACCGUUUGGUGGGUAGUUUGACUGGGGUGGUCGCCUCCAAAAGAGUAACGGAGGCUUCCCAAGGUACCCUCAGCACGAAUGGUAACCGUGCGUAGAGUGCAAUAGCAUAAGGGUGCUUGACUGUGAGACCAACAAGUCGAUCAGGUGCGAAAGCAGGGUAUAGUGAUCCGGUGGUUCUGCGUGGACUGGCCAUCGCUCAAAG
rnacentral:rRNA from 1 species